AGGAUGAACGCUGGCGGCGUGCCUAAAACAUGCAAGUCAUACGGGCUACCUUCGGGUAGCCAGUGGCAAACGGGUGAGUAACACGUGGGAACGCGCCUUGGGGUGGGGAAUAACGCUGAGAAAUCAGUGCUAAUACCGCAUACGGUCUAACGACUAAAGCAGCAAUGCGCCCCGAGAGCGGCCCGCGACCGAUUAGCUAGUUGGUGGGGUAAUGGCCUACCAAGGCGGUGAUCGGUAGCUGGUCUGAGAGGACGAUCAGCCACACUGGGAUUGAGAACGGCCCAGACUCCUACGGGGGGCAGCAGUGAGGAAUUUCGUCAAUGGGGGCAACCCUGAACGAGCAACGCCGCGUGCAGGAAGAAGGUUUUCGGAUCGUAAACUGCUUUUCUCGGGAAGAGAACGGACGGUACCCGAGGAAUCAGCCCCGGCUAACUACGUGCCAGCAGCCGC
rnacentral:rRNA from 1 species